GAUGAACGCUGGCGGCGUGCCUAAUACAUGCAAGUCGAGCGAACAGACGAGGAGCUUGCUCCUCUGACGUUAGCGGCGGACGGGUGAGUAACACGUGGAUAACCUACCUAUAAGACUGGGAUAACUUCGGGAAACCGGAGCUAAUACCGGAUAAUAUAUUGAACCGCAUGGUUCAAUAGUGAAAGACGGUUUUGCUGUCACUUAUAGAUGGAUCCGCGCCGCAUUAGCUAGUUGGUAAGGUAACGGCUUACCAAGGCAACGAUGCGUAGCCGACCUGAGGGGGUGAUCGGCCACACUGGAACUGAGACACGGUCCAGACUCCUACGGGAGGCAGCAGUAGGGAAUCUUCCGCAAUGGGCGAAAGCCUGACGGGGCAACGCCGCGUGAGUGAUGAAGGUCUUCGGAUCGUAAAACUCUGUUAUUAGCGAAGAACAAAUGUGUAAGUAACUAUGCACGUCUUGACGGUACCUAAUCAGAAAGCCACGGCUAACUACGUG
rnacentral:rRNA from 1 species